UUGGUAGAGCAGCACACACCAUGC
rnacentral:misc_RNA from 1 species